ACCUUUUUAUUAAAUUCGCAAUGUAAUAAAAAUUAAUUUCUAAUUUCAAAUUUUUAUGAUCUAACUUCUCUAGUGCAAGAAAAGUAUUUAUAGAGAAAUAUAAGUACUUAUAUAUGCAAAAGAAAAUUGUCUAUAAAAUUUGCGAGUGAAAUAAUAUCACGAUUCGUCACCUUUAACGGCACUGAUUUUAAAAAUCACGCCUCUUCUGUGCAACUUGAUAAUUCUUAACAACAAAAUUGAUAUAUCCAAAUUGGUGAUAGUGUAACGCGAUUUCUCAACUCCUGAAAAAAUGUUAAAAUAAUAACUAAAAGCACGACGCCUAAAAACAAAGCCUUCCUAAAACCGAGGAUAAUAAUUCUCGAAAGAAGAAAUUUAGAAUUACUAAAAGAUAGAAAUAGGACAAAGAAUGGGAGAAGGAUCUAGUUGGGAAUAGGUUUUUUGGGUCGGAAAUGUUUCACAAUCAGUAAAGAUUCAGAAAUUGAUUUGUGGGACACACAAACGUCACAAAUGGUGGGGGGUUUCCGUUAUGUUGUUCCACCAGAUGGACACACAAAUGGUUUUAACACAGAGAGUUUAUAUCGGGAUGUUAUACUAAAUAAAAGAAAAAACGAGUCGCUGACACACAGUGAAUUUAUUAAGAGACAUUAGAAACAGUUUAUUAGGAAACUUAUUUGAGAGAACGAUGUUCUUGAGAUAUGUUUCGAGCUAUUAAAAAAAUAUUUAUUUUUGUAGAUGUAGAUAAAAGUUGUUGUGGCACAUGUGUUACGUAGCCCAGUGAGAGUUAUCGCGCGUGUAAAUGUCGAUCGCGAAACACGUCAAGUUGUUACAUAUAUACGUUUACGAGCGUAAGACGCACGCGACACGCCGCCGGCGCUGCGUUCAAUAUAAACCAUCAUUGCAUCCCGUUGCAUCGCUGGCGUGAUUCAGCAGCUUGAAAAAAAAAUCAGCUGUUUCUCUCUUCCCUGCCGAGCGAUGAGCGCGGUCGUCGAGAAAACAUCAGGCGUGGAGUUCGCGAUCGGUGCCCUGGCGGCGGUGGGCGCCGGCUUCUUCACGAAUCCCGUGGACGUGGUGAAGGUGCGGCUGCAGCUGCAGGGUGAGCUGGAGGCGCGGGGCUCGUACAAGAAGAUAUACAAGAACACCCUGCACGCGGCGUAUCUCAUAGCCAAGCACGAGGGCGUGCUGGCCCUGCAGGCGGGACUCGUGCCCGCGCUUGCCUUCCAGGUCGUGCUCAAUGGUAUCCGCCUGGGCGCGUACAAGUCCGCCCAGAGAUACGAGCUGAUCGUCGACAAGCAGGGCAACACCGAUGUUCUACGGACCAUCCUGGUGUCCGGCACGGCCGGCUGCGUCGGUGCCGUCCUCGGCAGUCCGUUGUACCUGGUCAAGACGCAAUUACAGGCGCAAUCCGCGGAGUCCAUCGCCGUGGGCUACCAGCACAAUCACUCGGGUUCGUGGGACGCUUUCAAGUCUCUGUGGAUGGAGGGCGGCGUCGCGGCAUUGUACCGAGGAUGGAACGCGAACAUGCCGCGCGUAUUCGUCGGCUCGGCGACGCAGCUGACCACCUUCGGAUUAGCGUCGGACUGGCUACGCUCGUUAAAUACAUUUCCAGAUCGACCGAUACUGCUGACCUUCCUGGCCUCCGUGAUCGGAGGUAGUUGCGUAGCCGUCACCAUGCAGCCGUUCGACGUUCUGGCGACGCGGUUGUACAAUCAACGUGAGUAUACCGCGCGUGAAAGCCGCCGUACGUGGCAAGGCCUGCUGUGUGUUAAACGCGCGAUUUACCCGAAAGCCACGAUUGUGUCGCUUAACUAACAGCGAUUUGAACAUUUGCGCAAAAUUGAAAUUCCGUAUAACGUUCGUCGAAUAGCGGAAAUUUGUCCGGAAAAAAUAUUAAAAAAUAAAACCGUUCUCAUUUCUAUUUCUACUCAUUUCCGAUAAAAUAUCUAACACUUUCUGUUCGCUCGUGUGUAAUUAUGCUCGAGUCAGCAUCUCGCGAUAAUACAUUAACUUAGCGUACGCGACUAUAAAUACAAUGCGGUGUACGCGUGACUAUAAAUACGAUUCCCUAAUGCCCGUGACUAUAUAAAUACGCCUUGCGUAAAGAAUUCCGCUCGUAAAAUUUCUCGAGCGUAACGUGAAACGCUCGAUUGGAGAGAAACAUUCAGAAAUCGAAAACUCGUUAUCUGUCUGUUAACGCUAUAUAGAUUCUUUAAUAGCAAAUAGACAGACGCGACCGGCAAGGGUACGCUGUACAAAGGUCUCGGGGACGCGCUCGUCAAGAUAUUCCGCACCGAGGGUCUGAC